UUAUGAAAAAAAUAGCUAGGUUAAAGCGACGAAUGAAAAUGGUGGUAAGGAGAGGAGGAGCGCAAAUUAUGUCUUCAAGACCUACUUGACAAACUUCGUAUGAUUUUAACUAAUGACUUUUGAAACUGACAUUCUCAUUUUCACUGUGCUAAAUUUUUUUCUGAUCUUAUACACACUUUUUCUUUUUAAUUCAGAAGCUCAAGAUCAGCGUCUGCGAACAUUGUGUUAGUUCCGACAAGCUAGGUUUCGAAGGAAACAAUUAAUUAAUUUAAGAAGAGUCUCCACCUUCCCAAACAAUACUACAAAUAAUGUGUUACAGGGAUGCAAUAUUAGUUAAUGCACUUUGGAAUAAGGAAAAUUUUGUCAAGAAUUUGUUAUAGUUUUCAAGAGUUUGUGUUAAAAUAGUUAGUAUUUCUUAUAGAAGUUUAGGGAUGGGUACAUGAUUGGUGAUAGAAAUCCAGUCACGUACUACAUGAAGUUUUAUUUGUUUCCAGUGAUGAAAUGUAAUAUAUGUUUGUAGAGGUUGAUCAAGACCGCUUGGAAAAACUUGUCUGGUGUCGACUUGCAAGAUUUAAAAGAAAACAAUUGCUUUAUUUGAAAAGGAAUUCUGCCUCUGUUGAAAAUAAAGUCCCCGUUAGACAAACUUCUCAACUUAAUCCGUCAACAUCUACAAUUUCCAAUGCCACCCGUAGACAGACAGGUAACUUGUAAAAUAUUUUAAUCAUUAUUUUAAACAAAAGGAUUAGUAAUAUUUAUUGAUGUUUGGUGUCCUUAUAUUGUUUGCAUUAUAAAAAUAUUUAUUUUAUUUAUUAGCUUCCAUUAAUUUCCAAAUCCAAUUAACGUCUUUACUCAACAAAUCUGCCAAGAAUUUUAUUUUAUAUGAAUGA